rnacentral:rRNA from 1 species
ACCAGCACCCCGAGUGGUCGGGACGAUUAUUGGGCCUAAAGCAUCCGUAGCUUGUUCUGCAAGUCCUCCGUUAAAUCCACCUGCUCAACAGAUGGGCUGCGGAGGAUACUACAGAGCUAGGAGGCGGGAGAGGCAAGCGGUACUCGAUGGGUAGGGGUAAAAUCCGUUGAUCCAUUGAAGACCACCAGUGGCGAAGGCGGCUUGCCAGAACGCGCUCGACGGUGAGGGAUGAAAGCUGGGGGAGCAAACCGGA